rnacentral:tRNA from 1 species
GCCGGGGUAGCUUAGUUGGUAGAGCGUCUGGCUGUUAACCAGACGGUCGGAGGUUCGAGAAUAGCGUAGUUUUUAGGGCUACGUUGGCGGAAAUCCUCUCCCCGGCGCCA